rnacentral:rRNA from 1 species
GUGGAUUAGAUACCCUGGUAGUCCUAGCCGUAAACGAUGGUCACUAGGUGUUGGGGGUAUCGACCCCCCCAGUGCCGAAGCUAACGCAUUAAGUGACCCGCCUGGGGAGUACGGCCGCAAGGUUGAAACUCAAAGGAAUUGACGGGGGCCCGCACAAGCGGUGGAGCAUGUGGCUCAAUUCGAGGCUACGCGAAGAACCUUACCUGGGUUUGACAUCCUUGGAACCCUCCUGAAAGGGAGGGGUGCCCUUCGGGGAGCCAAGAGACAGGUGGUGCAUGGUUGUCGUCAACU